ensembl:lncRNA
UAGUAAUUCUAAGCUUAGUUCACUGAACAAAUACUGUACAGUAACCAAAGCAGGUGAGCCAGACAAGGGAGUGACCCUAGACUGAAGGUUCUAUGUGAAUAUAAAAGAGAUGGCUUGAAAUACAGGCAUGAAACUCAGGAAACACUGAAAACUGCAUCAUGGGAGCGCAGCCCAGGGACAUGGUGGGAAUGAAUAAGAUUCCUGGGAAAAUCUAGCAGCACUGCAAGAUACCUAAGGACAGAACCUUAAAAUAGAUGAUUAGGCAAAAGAUGGAAGUUGCAGAAGGAGUAAAGGGGAAUCUGAAAACUCCAGGCUUGUGCACCCUGAACAAAAAAGGAAUUGGCUCCACCUGGAGUUCAGUGGUUUAAGCCCCUACAGUCCAAACUUCCUAGAGUGAAGACAUGCAAGGAACUCAAAACCUUGGUGAGUCUCCCCUCCACAUUGGUCUGAGGGCAAACCACAAUUGCAAAGCAGCACAUCAGAGGUCAAUAAAGUUCUUCUCAAAAUUCACUUUUUUGGUUUUGACAUGGGGUCUCGCUCUGUUGCCCAGGGUGGGCUGCCAGUGGCACAAUCUCAGCACAUGACAGUCUCCACUUCCCAGGUUCAAGCAAUCCUCCUGCAUCAGCCUCCCAAGUAGCUGGGACCAAAGGCAUGCACCCCCACACCCAACUAAUUUUUGUAUUUUUGGUAGAUGGAGUUUCGCCAUGUUGCUCAGGCUGCCCUCAAGCUGCUGGGCUCAAGUGACUCACCUGCCUCGACUUCCCAAAGUGCUAGUGUUAACAGGCAUGAACCACCAGGUCUGGCCUAAAAUUCACUAUGUAUUAGACCAGAGAUACCAGAGGAAGAAGCCCAGGUCACUGGGGAGUGAGGAGUCCUAGCAGGGAGACAGCCAGGGAUGGGAAGCAUCUGAUUUGUAUAUCGGCUUCACACAAAUCUCUUGCUUACCCCCAAAGCAUGCAUGAGCAGGACAGGCAGGGCAACACAAGCUUAAAGAAUUGAACCAAGAUUUGAAUCACUGCCCAGAGGAAGCAACAGAAAGCUUACUGUUGGAGUCUGGUCAAGUUAAUUGCCUGCAAGAGCCUGAACAUUCUUCAGAAGAAUAUAACUGAAUCCCAGUUCUUCACAAUAUAAUAUUCACCUUGCCCAGGAUACAACCCAAAAUUGCUUGACAUACAACAAAACAACAAAAGCAACAACAGAAAAAAGAAAAUACAUUACUCUCAAAGGAAAAGACAGUCCAUCCUAAGAUGCCCCAGAUGUUGGAAUUAUCACUCCAGGAGAAUAGAGCAGCUACUAUAACAAAGCUUUAUAAAGUAAAGGAAAAUAUACCUAAUAUGAAUGAAAAGAAAGGAUAUCUCCUAGAACACAGAAAAAAUCAAAUGAAAAUUUCAGAACUGAAAAAUAUCUAAAAUUUUAAAACUUACUGGAUGGGCUUAAUAGCAGAAUGGAGGAGAGAGAAAAGAGUCAGGAAACAUGAAGACAGAUCAAUAGAAAGUAUUCAUUCUAAAAUACAAAGACAAAAAGGAUUUUAUUAAGCAAAGCUUCAGGACCCUAUAUCAAAAGUCUAAAGUACAGGUGACGAGUACCAGAAAGGAAAGAAAGAAUGGGCCACAAAAAAAUAUUUGGAAAAGUGAUAGCCAACAACGUCUCAUAUUUGGUGAAAUUUAAAAAAAUUAAAUUCUGCAUGAUCAACAAACACAGAAAACAUGAGUCACGAAGCAAAAUAUUACUAAAUUGGACUUUAUAAAGAUUUUGCUUUUCAGUGAUAUUGGAAAAUGGGAGGCAAGCCUGGAAGAAUAAAUUGCAGCACAUUUAUCAGAUAAAGGGCUUGUAUCCAAAAGUAUGUAAAGAACUGCAGCCUGAGCAACAUAGCCAUAUCUCCAACUCCUGACCUCAAGUGAUCUGCCUGCUUUGGCUUCCCAAAGUGUUGGGAUUAUAGGCGAGAGCCACCGUGCCCAGCCGAACCCUUCUUUUUAGAGACCAGAAUGGAGGGAAGGGAAAGGGCGAUGAGGCUAGGGCAGUGGGUAGAGACGUGGGAUAAUGUAUUCAAUCCAUUGUUUGAUAGGCACAUGUCCAUUUCCUGCUAAUUCCUCUCUCAGAGGCACUCUGUGCUGUGUUUCAUUGUGAAGCAGGUGAGGCUUUUUGGAUUUAUGCACAGUUAGCCUUGGUCAUGUCAGGAAAGAGCCACCAUCCAUAUAGAAUGGGUGACAUCUGCCUUUCACGGCAUCCCUGCCUCUGAGCAGACCAUAUGGAUGUGUUCUAGGCACUGAAGGAGAGUAGAUCCAGGAUGUAACCUAUUACCAUGAUAUGUGAAAGUGUUUCCUUGGUCUUCCAAGCUGUCCUUUCAAGCUUCCACAAAAACAGCUAAUGAUUUCAUCUCAUAAUAUUUUUGAAAUACUCUCUGGAUUUGCUCUCUUAAAAAGCUACCACGGAGGCCAGGUGCAGUGGCUCAAGUCUGUAAUCCCAGCACUUUGGGAGGCCGAGGCAGGAGGAUCACUUGAGGUUGGGAGUUUGAGACCAGCCUGGCCAACAGGAUGAAACCCCGUCUCUACCAAAAAUAGAAAAAUCAGCCAGGCAUGGUGGCACACACCUGUAGUCCCAGCGACUCGGGAGGCAGGAGAAUCACUUGAACCCGGGAGGCGGAGGUUGCAGUGAGCCGAGAUCAAGCCACAGCACUCCAACCUGGGAAAGAGAGUGAGUGAGACUCCAUCUCAAAUAAUAAAAUAAAAUAAUAAGUAAUUAAUAAAAAGCUACCAAGGCAGGUUUUUGGCUCAGUGGUGCAGUAACUCACGCCUGUAAUCCCAGCACUUUGGGAUUCUGAGAUGGGAGGAUUGCUUGAGUCCAGGACUUCAAGACAAGUCUAGGCAACAUAGUGAGACCACCCCUCCCAUCUCUACAAAUAUAAAGCAUUAGCUGGGCAUGGUGACACCUAUCUGUAGUCCCAGCUACUUAGGAUUCUGAGAUGGGAGGAUCACUUGAGCCCAGGAGGUCGAGGCUGCAGUGAGCUGUGAUCAUACGACUGCACUCCAGCCUGGGUAACAAAGCAAGACCCUGUCUCUGAAAAAAAAAGAAAAAAAAAAAAA